CCAACAGUGUACGACUUUUCUUUUUUUAAUUAAUCAAAAUAAAUAUUUGACAUACCAGCCAAGGAAAUCAACAACUACAAAAAAAAAAAUAGAUAAAGAAAAUACAUAAACGGUAAAAAGGCAGCAAAUACACAAAUGAAAAAAAAUUAUAAUAUUAAAAUGCGAAACAUAAUGGUUGUGAAUUUUUCAAAUACUAAACUAGUUUGAAUCCAAGUUUGGCAUUCGCUAGUCACGCACCGGUCAGAAGUAGAUAAUACAGUUUAUGAUAUUAUAUUUAUAAGCAAACUAAAUGCAAGCAACUUUUCAUAUAACGGUAAUCAAAACAAAAGGCGCUCUAAAUGAAAUUUCAACAAAAUCUACAAUCGCAUCUAACACCCGAAUGGCGUACACAAUAUAUCGAUUAUGGCUUCUUGAAGCAAAUGAUACUCGAAGCGGUUGAGAAUGCGCCACCCCUUAACAGCCCCGUGUUUACGGAAUAUUUUGCGCAGUUUCAGCAAAAAUUCUUUGAAGUUUGCGAUAAAGAAUUGGAGAAAAUCAAUUUGUUCUACGAAGCCAAAUUGGCCGAGAUCAAUCAUAAGUACACAUUACUACGAGAUGAGAUGAAAUUGGUCGAAGAGAUGGCCGGUACAGAGUUGUUGGCGCGUCCAUCGAUGCGCAUUAAAAAUCGUCAAUAUCGACAAACGGUCGAUAUGACUAAAAUAUUGACGCGACAUGCGACACAUGACUUCAAGGCGGCCUUUAGUGAGCUAUACUUGAACGCUAUACUCUUGCGUAACUAUCAGAUUUUGAAUUACACCGGCUUUCGUAAGAUGCUCAAGAAGUACGAUAAGCGCAUUAGUGGCAGAGCCGGUUAUUACUAUUUGUCAGGGACAGUGGAUAAAGCGGUAUUUUAUACGAAUCGUGAAACUAAAGUCCUUUUGAAAAAAAUCGAGGAUAUAAUGACAUAUAAUCUGGAGCAUGGUAAUCGUCACAAAGCUAUGGAGCGGCUUCGUGUACCACCGCUCGCUGACAAAUCCCAUCCAUGGACUUCGUUUCGCACAGGCUUCUCUCUGGGUGCACUUAUUAUACUCGUCAUCAUGGUUGUUUUAUCGUUCACAAUGAAAGUCAUCGACGUGGAUGUGGUAACAUGUGUAUUACUUUUUCGUGGUCCUUUUACGAUGAUUCUCUUUCUGGGACUGCUCAGUUUGAAUUUCUAUGUCUGGCGCAAUGUGGGUAUCAAUCAUGUGUUGAUAUUCGAACUGAAUCCUCGUAACUUUUUGGCUGCUGUACAAAUUCUUGAGAUCGCCGUUGUAUUCGGUUGUAUAUUAUCAUUGCUGACACUCGCAUUUCUACAUUCCCAGUACCUUGGCAUGCCGCCGUAUGUCUUUCCGCUGGCUAUGCCUAUAAUAAUGAUUGUUUUUCUCAUCAAUCCAAUACGAAUAUUUCAUUAUAAAUCCCGCAUGUGGCUGCUGCGCUAUUUGGGUCGUAUUGCUUGUGCACCUUUCUUCAAAGUCGUCUUCGCAGACUUUUGGUUGGCAGACCAAUUCAAUUCACUCGUAGCGCUCUUCGUUGAUUAUAGUCACAUUAUAUGCUACUACACGACACCGUUCGAUUGGUAUUACGCCAAAGAGCCGACUACUUGUUACAUAAAACAACGUUAUACGGCAUUGAUACGAGUGUUACCCGCUUGGUUUCGUUUCGCACAAUGUUUACGACGUUAUCAUGACGAUCCUGAAAACUUGAAGAAGCAUCUAAUUAAUGCCGGAAAAUAUUCAACUAGUUUCUUUGUAGUGUUUUUCGAUUUCAUGGCGAGAAAGUAUGAAGCUUCUUACAACAACCGACUGGAGAAUCCAUUUAUCUGGUUAUGGAUAUUGGCUGCCAUCAUUUCUUCCACAUAUGGUUUAGCGUGGGACUUUUUAAGAGAUUGGGGUAUUUUCAGUGCAGAUUGCGGCGACCAUAAAUAUUUACGUGCGCAAAUUCUCUAUAAACCGCUUUAAUCUUUCUUAACAUACAACCUUUCAGAGUUUUUACUACUGUCUGAUUGUGGAAAAUCUUUUGCUACGCUAUCUGUGGGCCUAUGUAUUUGUAUUGAACGAAACAAAUGUGGUCAGUCAAAGGAUCAUGGCGCCUAUAGCGGAUAUAUUGGAAGCAAUACGUCGUUUCCUGUGGAAUUUCAUUCGUUUGGAGAAUGAGCAUCUCAACAAUUGUGGCAGAUUUCGCGCUGUUCGUGAUAUCUCAAUUACAGUUAUUGAACAGCCUUAUCGUGGUUCUUUUGCGCCUAUUACUGAACCCCCUGCUAAAUCUGUACACAAUUCGAAAGGUCGUGUUAAACUGAAAAUUCCAAAUGAUUCUAAAUCGGUUGUCAAUGUUGUAUAGUAUUAAAAUUCAUAGUUUAAAAGUUUUACUUAAUUGUAAUGUAACUAAUAUAUGAAUUGAGUAAGCAUAAAAAGUCAUGAUUAUCAAGAAC